GUUGACACAUUUGCAGGCCUCCAUACAGUACACAUUUAGCAGCAAACACACUGCUAUGUCCAUUCAGAACUUUACAAUCAUCAAUUUUGCAUGACCAAGUGGCAGGGGCCUCUCUUUUAGGUUUAACACCUAGAGCUGCUGAUGUAACUGGGUGAAAAUGACAGAGGAGCUGCUGCAGAUUGAGACUGCCGUGCUACAGAAGAACUUUUACCAGUUACCUAAGAUGCUUUUGAUCUCGUCAGAGUGAAAGGGACAUUCAUUUCAAAUGAUUUGCUUGUUUCAGUGAAUGCUUUUUGCAUGUAUUUCUGUGCGUACUUUUCUUCCCUCCACAUGUAAUCGCAUGAGAUGGUAACCUAGCUCAGGAAAAAAAGCAGCACCUUUGUGAAAUACAAAAAAGAAAAAGAAAGGGAAAAAAAUCUGAUCUGCCUCUGAAGAAACACCACCUUAUCUCAGAAACACUGGAGGCAGCUUGUCAAGCUUCUGAUGUUUUAUAUUCAGGGGUAAUAUCUGGAUUCAGAUGAACAGAGGAACCCAGGUGUAUCUGGCCACUGUCUGUGCAGGAUUCAAUCAAAGCCAAGUCAGAUUUGUUCCGUUUUUCCUUUUCCUUUGCUCCCUUGCUAUUUCUCUUAAUUUCACUUCAAUUCACUGUGCUCUAUUGGCAUGAAUGAUAGAUGAGCAGUGCUGUUGCAGCAUCUAACAAUAAACAGUUUUUGACCAUUUG